AUACUUACUGGGCAGGGGAGAUACCAUGAUUGCAAAGGUGGUUUUCCCAGGGCGAGGCUUAUCCAUUGCGCUCCAGAUGUGCUGACCCCUGUGAUUUCGCCAAAUGUGGGAAACUCCACUGCAUAAUUUGUGGUAAUGGGGGACUGUGUUCACGCUCUCCCCUG
rnacentral:snRNA from 1 species